UCGGAAUUAUUGGGCGUAAAGGGUGCGUAGGCGGUUUGGUAAGUCUUGUGUGAAAUCUACAGGCUCAACUUGUAGUCUGCACGAGAAACUGCCGGGCUUGAGUGUGGGAGAGGUGAGUGGAAUUCCUGGUGUAGCGGUGAAAUGCGUAGAUAUCAGGAGGAACACCUGUGGCGAAAGCGGCUCACUGGACCAUAACUGACGCUGAUGCACGAAAGCUAGGGGAGCAAACAGG
rnacentral:rRNA from 1 species